rnacentral:rRNA from 1 species
GACGAACGCUGGCGGCGUGCCUAACACAUGCAAGUCGAACGGAGUAAAGACUUCGGUUUUUACUUAGUGGCGAACGGGUGAGUAACGCGUGAGAAACCUGCCUUUCAGUGGGGGACAACAGUUGGAAACGACUGCUAAUACCGCAUAAUGUUAUAUGGGGGCAUCCCUGGAUAACCAAAGAUUUAUUGCUGAAAGAUGGUCUCGCGUCUGAUUAGCUAGUUGGUGAGGUAACGGCUCACCAAGGCGACGAUCAGUAGCCGGUCUGAGAGGAUGAACGGCCACAUUGGGACUGAGAUACGGCCCAGACUCCUACGGGAGGCAGCAGUGGGGAAUAUUGGGCAAUGGGGGAAACCCUGACCCAGCAACGCCGCGUGAAGGAAGAAGGCCUUCGGGUUGUAAACUUCUUUUACCAGGGACGAAGAAAAUGACGGUACCUGGAGAAAAAGCAACGGCUAACUACGUGCCAGCAGCCGCAGUAAUAC